rnacentral:rRNA from 1 species
AACGAACGCUGGCGGCAUGCCUAACACAUGCAAGUCGAACGAGACCUUCGGGUCUAGUGGCGCACGGGUGCGUAACGCGUGGGAACCUGCCCUUAGGUUCGGCAUAACUCCCCGAAAGGGGUGCUAAUACCGGAUAAUGUCUUCGGACCAAAGAUUUAUCGCCUUUGGAUGGGCCCGCGUGGGAUUAGCUAGUUGGUAGGGUAAAAGCCUACCAAGGCGACGAUCCAUAGCUGGUCUGAGAGGAUGAUCAGCCACACUGGGACUGAGACACGGCCCAGACUCCUACGGGAGGCAGCAGUGGGGAAUAUUGGACAAGGGGCGAAAGCCUGAUCCAGCAAUGCCGCGUGAGUGAUGAAGGCCUUAGGGUUGUAAAGCUCUUUUACCCGGGAUGAUAAUGACAGUACCGGGAGAAUAAGCUCCGGCUAACUCCGUG